CGAGGCCUAUCAGCAUGUUGGUGGGGUGAUGGCCUGCCAAGGCUUAGACAGGUAGCCGGCCUGAGAGGGUGGGCGGUCACACUGGGACUGAGACACGGCCCAGACUCCUACGGGAGGCAGCAGUGGGGAAUAUUGCACAAUGGGCGGAAGCCUGAUGCAGCGACGUCGCGUGAGGGAUGGAGGCCUUCGGGUUGUGAACCUCUUUCGCCAGUGACGAAGGCCUUGCCCGUGUGGUGGGGUUGACGGUAGCUGGGUUAAUUGAAGCGCCGGCUAACUACGUGCCAGCAGCCGCGGUAAUACGUAGGGCGCGAGCGUUGUCCGGAAUUAUUGGGCGUAAAGGGCUUGUAGGCGGUUGGUCGCGUCUGCCGUGAAAUCCUCUGGCUCAGCUGGGGGCGUGCGGUGGGUAGGGGCUGGCUUGAGUGCGGUAGGGGAGGCUGGAACUCCUCGUGUACGGUGGAAUGCGCAGAUAUCAGGAGGAACACCGGUGGCGAAGGCGGGUCUCUGGGCCGUUACUGACGCUGUGGAGCGAAAGCGUGCUGAGCGAACAGGAUUAGAUACCCUGGUAGUCCACGCUGUAAACGUUGGGCACUAGGUCUGGGGGGUCUUUCCGGGUCCUCCGCGCCGUAGCUAACGCAUUAAGUGCCCCGCCUUGGGAGUACGGCCGCAAGGCUAAAACUCAAAGGAAUUGACGGGGGCUCGCACAAGCGGCGGAGCAUGCGGAUUAAUUCGAUGCAACGCGAAGAACCUUACCAAGGCUUGACAUGUGCCGGUUGUCCUUCGGAGACGGAGGGUCCUCCCUUUGCGAGGGUCGGUUCACAGGUGGUGCAUGGUUGUCGUCAGCUCGCGUCGUGAGAUGUUGGGUUAUGUCCCGCAACGAGCGCA
rnacentral:rRNA from 1 species